rnacentral:rRNA from 1 species
UACGAAGGACCCGAGCGUUAUCCGGAUUUAUUGGGUUUAAAGGGUGCGUAGGCGGAUUAGUAAGUCAGUGGUGAAAGCCCAUCGCUUAACGGUGGAACUGCCAUUGAUACUGCUAGUCUUGAGUAUGGUUGAGGUGGGCGGAAUGUGUCAUGUAGCGGUGAAAUGCUUAGAUAUGACACAGAACACCAAUUGCGAAGGCAGCUCGCUAAGCCAUAGCUGACGCUGAUGCACGAAAGCGUGGGGAGCAAACAGG